UCAACUCACCUAUGAAAAACAAAUGAAAUUUUUCUCGUGCCGCUAAUCACCAAAAUGAUUUGAACUGUUUUGAAAUGUCACGAACGUCCAAACAAAUCUGUCAGAUGUGUCAAAAAUUGAAAUGCCCGGUUCGCGGUUUAAAUUCAUUUUAAAUAGACACGAAAAGACGCCAGGCCAGAGCAUUAAGGGUUGCAGUGUUAUCGGGCAUUUGUGAACGCCACUGCAAUACAUUUCAGUUUCAAAAAUUGUAAAUUGUCAGAAAAACGUUUAAGGGCUUUGUCAUGAAUUACACCUUGGAAAGUCGAUUGGAGUUGAACAGAAUAAAUCAUCUGGUCUGUUUUGCAAAGAAGCAAUAAUUUUUCAAAUAAUGAAAUCCAAAAAGUGAGGUACCCUGAAGGUAAAAAUUGUGAAAAAUCACGUAAUGGACAAUGGCAGAGCAAGUCUUAUCACAGUUAACGAACACUAUGAGUACCUAAUGAGUUUUUGCAGUAAAUAAUUUUGCCAAAGUUGUGAUCCCGCGAAAGUUCUGUUUGUAAAUUGAAAGGAAUCGUCAAAAUAUUGGUGCAGACAUGGUUUGUGACCGGUGCUUUUCUCUUGAAAAAACACAACUGAAAUCCUUGAUCUUCAUCCCUACAAUAGGUGAAAACUGCUAUGUCCAAACAUUACCUUCAGCUUUGCAGUUUCUAGAUAUCUGAAACAUGCCAGAUCUGCAUAACAGGAAUGUCAAAGAGGUUCUACCCAAAACACGCCCACAUGGCCAUCCUAAUAUCAAGAUUUUUCAAAAUUUCUAUAAGAAAAAAGAUGAAAAAACCAAUAAAAUUUCAGGAGCAUAGUGUUAAGAGUUCUGUAGCUGAUUAUGAGAUCUCUUGAAACAACAGAAUGUUUAAUAAAGAUUUUUAACUUUCCUAAUAGUAAAAUUACAAUUAUUACUAAACAUACCUACAUACACUUUCUACAUCUA